rnacentral:rRNA from 1 species
AACGAACGCUGGCGGCAUGCCUAACACAUGCAAGUCGAACGAGACCUUCGGGUCUAGUGGCGCACGGGUGCGUAACGCGUGGGAACCUGCCCUUAGGUUCGGAAUAACUCCCCGAAAGGGGUGCUAAUACCGGAUAAUGUCUUCGGACCAAAGAUUUAUCGCCUUUGGAUGGGCCCGCGUUGGAUUAGCUAGUUGGUAGGGUAAAAGCCUACCAAGGCGACGAUCCAUAGCUGGUCUGAGAGGAUGAUCAGCCACACUGGGACUGAGACACGGCCCAGACUCCUACGGGAGGGAGCAGUGGGGAAUAUUGGACAAUGGGCGAGAGCCUGAUCCAGCAAUGCCGCGUGAGUGAUGAAGGCCUUAGGGUUGUAAAGCUCUUUUACCCGGGAUGAUAAUGACAGUACCGGGAGAAUAAGCUCCGGCUAACUCCGUG